AUGGUGUUCUGUGCAUUCCCCAUCAGAGGCAGGAAGCAGUGCAGUUCUCCUGGCGCCCCACCGACGCGGAAGCAUGGGAGGAAUUAGCUCAGCCAUAGAGCACAUCUAGUAGUUACUGAUGUUUCUGAUGGGUUUGUGGCUUGGAAUUUAAAUAUUGAGAAGUUGUGACAUUUUCAUCUCCGUCUCUAACACCCUCCUGCAAGCACUCCUGCCCUUGUGUCUUCAUGACUGCAGUUGCCUCCUUUUCCUGGUUUGCACAGAGGAAAUCCUGUUACGGCACAGCCUGUCCGCAGCACUGUUGUGAAAAGCCACCUCUGAGCCUCGGCUGCAUCUCCCCUCGCUGUCAUCCUGCUGUUUGUUGUCCCUUCCCCACUGCAUCGGACACGCCAGCCUCAGGCUUCACAUUCAGCAUCCUGGCUGGUCUCCUGGGCUUUUCUCAGCAUGCAGUCCCUUUAGAUUUGGGUGCGAUAACCAACCACAUCCUGCACAUUGGACUUUUGGCUUGCAUUCUUCUAUCAUCCUGCAUUUCUGAAGAAUACACUAUUCCUUUGCCCUGGGCUUGAGCAGUGAAGGCUCAAUCUGAUCACUGGCUGACUUGUUAUCUCUUCGCUGUGAUGGAAAAGUGCUCAUCUGAAGCAAGCCCUCUGUUAUGCUGCUAAAACUGCCUUUGAAUACAAGAUCUGUGGUGAUU
rnacentral:lncRNA from 1 species